CAAUAACGUAUAUUAACGUUGUUGCAGUUAAAAAGCUCGUAGUUGGAUUUCUGGAGGGAGCGUCGGCCCGUAUUUACGAGUGCGUGACGUCUCUGUCCAUCCUUGCGGGAAGGCACGGCAUUGAUUUGUUGUGUCGGAUCGCAUCAUUUACUGUGAAAAAAUUAGAGUGUUCAAAGCAGGCUUUCGCUUGAAUACAUUAGCAUGGAAUAAUAAGAUAGGACUUUGGUGCUAUUUUGUUGGUUGAGCCUAAAGUAAUGAUUAAUAGGGAUAGUUGGGGGCACCUGUAUUGCGUUGUCAGAGGUGAAAUUCUUGGAUUUACGCAAGACAAACAGCUGCGAAAGCGUCUGCCAAGGAUGUUUUCAUUAA
rnacentral:rRNA from 1 species